UACGGGGGGGCAAGCGUUGUUCGGAAUUACUGGGCGUAAAGGGCUCGUAGGUGGCCAACUAAGUCAGACGUGAAAUCCCUCGGCUUAACCGGGGAACUGCGUCUGAUACUGGAUGGCUUGAGUUUGGGAGAGGGAUGCGGAAUUCCAGGUGUAGCGGUGAAAUGCGUAGAUAUCUGGAGGAACACCGGUGGCGAAGGCGGCAUCCUGGACCCUGCACUGACGCUCAUGCACGAAAAGCGUGGGGGAGCAAACAGG
rnacentral:rRNA from 1 species